rnacentral:rRNA from 1 species
ACGCUUCUCCUAAAGACUAAGCCAUGCAUGCUUUCGAAUAGGAGGUAGCAAUGCUCUCUGAAUCUGCGAACGGCUCCGCAUAUCAGUUGUAAACUAUAGCAAGCAAGCUCGUGCCCUUCACCGGGUGCGGGCAACACGGAUAACCCUGGUAAUUCUGAGGCUAAUACGAGACCGUAAUCCCUGGUUGGUCGGGCAACUGACUGGCUGGGGAGCGUGUGAUCUUCCGCUGAUUUUUUCCGGGAACGGGUA